rnacentral:rRNA from 1 species
CUGAGUACGGCGGAACACGUGAAAUUCCGUCGGAAUCCGGGAGGACCAUCUCCCAAGGCUAAAUACUCCCUAGUGACCGAUAGUGAACCAGUACCGUGAGGGAAAGGUGAAAAGCACCCCGGAAGGGGAGUGAAACAGUUCCUGAAACCGUGUGCCUACAAGUAGUUAGAGCCCGUUAAUGGGUGAUAGCGUGCCUUUUGUAGAAUGAACCGGCGAGUUACGAUUUGUUGCAAGGUUAAGCGGAAAAAGCGGAGCCGUAGCGAAAGCGAGUCUGAAUAGGGCGCAUAAGUAACAGGUCGUAGACCCGAAACCAGGUGAUCUACCCAUGUCCAGGAUGAAGGUAAGGUAAUACUUACUGGAGGUCCGAACCCACGCACGUUGAAAAGUGCGGGGAUGAGGUGUGGGUAGCGGAGAAAUUCCAAUCGAACUUGGAGAUAGCUGGUUCUCUCCGAAAUAGCUUUAGGGCUAGCCUCGAGGUAAAGAGUCAUGGAGGUAGAGCACUGUUUGGACUAGGGGCCCUUCUCGGGUUACCGAAUUCAGAUAAACUCCGAAUGCCAUGUACUUAUACUCGGGAGUCAGACUGCGAGUGAUAAGAUCCGUAGUCGAAAGGGAAACAGCCCAGACCACCAGUUAAGGUCCCCAAAUAUAUGUUAAGUGGAAAAGGAUGUGGGGUUGCUUAGACAACCAGGAUGUUGGCUUAGAAGCAGCCACCAUUGAAAGAGUGCGUAAUAGCUCACUGGUCGAGUGACCCCGCGCCGAAAAUGUACCGGGGCUAAACAUAUUACCGAAACUGUGGAUGAACCUCUUUAGAGGUUCGUGGUAGGAGAGCGUUCUAAGGGCGGUGAAGUCAGACCGGAAGGACUGGUGGAGCGCUUAGAAGUGAGAAUGCCGGUAUGAGUAGCGAAAGAAGGGUGAGAAUCCCUUCCACCGAAUAUCUAAGGUUUCCUGAGGAAGGCUCGUCCGCUCAGGGUUAGUCGGGACCUAAGCCGAGGCCGAUAGGCGUA